GUCUGAUUGAUUAAUCAGUCAAACAUACAAGCAUGCACAAUUUCAUAUAAGAUAUCCACACUCCUCUCUUUGCUCUUUCUUUAUGUAGCAUUUCAAGUCAGCAAAAGAUAAAAAGAAAUCUCUACCCCUUUAAUCCAACAACACACACUUUUAUAUGGGACCCAAACACAUCAUUAGUUUUGAAAGUUUGCAAUCUUAAGUGAUUUUCUCUAGGACUUGAAGUGCUUCUUUCAUGGAAGGUCUCUUUUCUGGUGCAAAACAAGCACAACUAAACCCUAACUUCAAGCAUGCCACCAUGGCAUCUUCUUUAGCCACCACGUCAGCCAUGAUCACCACAUCAGCCAAUUUCAAAACCUGGUUUUUGUCCUCUGUCAUUGAACCAGUAGUCCAUUGGCUUAAUUCUCGAUUUGAAAGCACUCUACCAAUGAGAAGUUCAAGCAAAAUAAUACCAAAUGAAUAGACAUCCCAUUUAGGGUUUGACUUUAGAUUCUUUAAAGACUCCGGUGCUUGAUACGGUGACGUACUGGUAGUUAUGGAGAAGCCAGGGGUUGCGUAGGGGCUAGCAGUGAUAAAGUGGUCUUGUGAAGUAGAAUUGGAUCUCUGGUUUCCAAAAUGACAGCCCGAGUUGCUAGCUUUGUAGCUGCGGGAGAUAAGCCGGUUUAGCCCGAAAUCAGAUAUUAUGGGCUCCAUAUCAGAGUUUAAGAGGAUGUUGGUAGGUCUGAUGCUACCAUGCACAUAUUUCUUGUCA
rnacentral:misc_RNA from 1 species